AUUCAUAAUAAUUCGCCUACUGAUUAAAACUAUUAGAACAAUUGUAAACAACCUUUCUACUGACUCGUUAGACUUUAGAUGUACUAAAAAUCGCAAUGCAUGUCUUACAGAAGCUAAUUGCUUAUGUUGCUCUUCCGAUUUUAGUAUCAGGUAAUUUUGGUUUUUAUGAAUUACGGAAGGAGGGGAGGGGAGGCGGUGGAGCUACUGCAAUCUGCUAAGAUGCAGUGUGUAUUCUUUAAUUUUAGCAAUAAUGAAAACUUGUGCUUCGUUGUUGCAUUAGUUUUUAAGAAUAGUACUAACUGAAUCUAGGAUUCUCAUAUCAUUCUGAGUACCAUUGUGUAUCCUGGUCCUUUCAAGGAGUGUUUUUUUCAACAAAAGCAUUUGACAGAUUCUAGAGGAUAUUUGGUUGAUGAGGAUGGAUUUGACUACAUGAAAAUAUCAUUUUUGAGAGACAUCAAAGCUCAACAAAGAAGUUUACGAGACUAUUCAAAGACCUGUGCUCGUGCGCUCCAGAUAUUAUGAUGAAGCAAAACCGUGGAAUGAAAGGUGUGAUGUUGCAUUUGCUUAUGCUUCACAGAAUGAAAUUGAUCAAUCUGAUGCCAUUAAUUUGGUUAAUUCAGGUUGUCGUAUACUAGUAGAAGGUAGCUGUUCUUGUAGGAUGCAAUAUUGGUUUUUUUCCUCCUCUUCUUCCUUAUAUAUACUUAUGGAAGCUACUUGUUUAGUUUGAAUCACAGGUUCAAACAUGCCUUUUACCCCUGAGGCAGUUCAGAUUCUGAGGAAAGCUAGUGUUCUCAUUGCUUCUGCAAUGGCUGCCGGGGUUGAAUGGAUGAGAUUUUUACUUUACUUUUCCUAUGUAUAGUGUACACAUAAUCCCACCAUAACCAAAACAACAGCGACAAUAAUGAUUGUGGUGGUGGUGGUGUACAGCCACUUUUGUUUCUAAUAACGCCACGAUGAAAAUGCAAAUUUUAUCCACCUUAAUUGACUUCUGUUCAACUUAGGGCAGAUUCAAUUUCAACACCAAACAUUAGACAUGACAUUUGGAUGGACCUUUCUUUAAUCUUCCGUUCUCCUUGCUUGCAGGUUGUGGCUGGAGAACUUGAACUGAAUCACGAAUGCAGUUUGAUGCACUGGUCACCAGAGGACUUUGAAUCUAAAUUGCAAGAAGCAAUGGAGUAGACUUAUCAGAGAGCUAUCAAAGCUGCAACUGAUUUUGGUUAUAAAAAAGAAAGCCCUGAGUAAGUGCUUUCUUCGGUAACAUUACAACAAUGACGAAAGCCUCUUUCAUUUUUCUGUCUUACCACAAUACAAAAUGUAUGAUUUUCCUCUCUGAAGAUCUCUCUUGAU